rnacentral:misc_RNA from 9 species
AUCCACGCGUUUGGGGAGUAGUUAGCGCAAGUUUACAUAUCGUCAUCUCGUUAGGCCAAGAGUCUAUCCGGUAUGUAAAGGUGAAAUCCCAUAUUUCACUUCAACGAGACCAACGCAAUCAC